rnacentral:rRNA from 1 species
GGUUAAGCGACUAAGCGUACACGGUGGAUGCCCUGGCAGUCAGAGGCGAUGAAGGACGUGCUAAUCUGCGAUAAGCGUCGGUAAGGUGAUAUGAACCGUUAUAACCGGCGAUUUCCGAAUGGGGAAACCCAGUGUGUUUCGACACACUAUCAUUAACUGAAUCCAUAGGUUAAUGAGGCGAACCGGGGGAACUGAAACAUCUAAGUACCCCGAGGAAAAGAAAUCAACCGAGAUUCCCCCAGUAGCGGCGAGCGAACGGGGAGGAGCCCAGAGCCUGAAUCAGUGUGUGUGUUAGUGGAAGCGUCUGGAAAGGCGCGCGAUACAGGGUGACAGCCCCGUACACAAAAAUGCACAUGCUGUGAGCUCGAUGAGUAGGGCGGGACACGUGGUAUCCUGUCUGAAUAUGGGGGGACCAUCCUCCAAGGCUAAAUACUCCUGACUGACCGAUAGUGAACCAGUACCGUGAGGGAAAGGCGAAAAGAACCCCGGCGAGGGGAGUGAAAAAGAACCUGAAACCGUGUACGUACAAGCAGUGGGAGCCUCUUUAUGGGGUGACUGCGUACCUUUUGUAUAAUGGGUCAGCGACUUAUAUUCUGUAGCAAGGUUAACCGAAUAGGGGAGCCGAAGGGAAACCGAGUCUUAACUGGGCGUUAAGUUGCAGGGUAUAGACCCGAAACCCGGUGAUCUAGCCAUGGGCAGGUUGAAGGUUGGGUAACACUAACUGGAGGACCGAACCGACUAAUGUUGAAAAAUUAGCGGAUGACUUGUGGCUGGGGGUGAAAGGCCAAUCAAACCGGGAGAUAGCUGGUUCUCCCCGAAAGCUAUUUAGGUAGCGCCUCGUGAAUUCAUCUCCGGGGGUAGAGCACUGUUUCGGCAAGGGGGUCAUCCCGACUUACCAACCCGAUGCAAACUGCGAAUACCGGAGAAUGUUAUCACGGGAGACACACGGCGGGUGCUAACGUCCGUCGUGAAGAGGGAAACAACCCAGACCGCCAGCUAAGGUCCCAAAGUCAUGGUUAAGUGGGAAACGAUGUGGGAAGGCCCAGACAGCCAGGAUGUUGGCUUAGAAGCAGCCAUCAUUUAAAGAAAGCGUAAUAGCUCACUGGUCGAGUCGGCCUGCGCGGAAGAUGUAACGGGGCUAAACCAUG